GACGAACGCUGGCGGCGUGCCUAACACAUGCAAGUCGAACGGAAAGGCCCUGCUUUUGUGGGGUGCUCGAGUGGCGAACGGGUGAGUAACACGUGAGUAACCUGCCCUUGACUUUGGGAUAACUUCAGGAAACUGGGGCUAAUACCGGAUAGGAGCUCCUGCUGCAUGGUGGGGGUUGGAAAGUUUCGGCGGUUGGGGAUGGGCUCGCGGCUUAUCAGCUUGUUGGUGGGGUAGUGGCUUACCAAGGCUUUGACGGGUAGCCGGCCUGAGAGGGUGACCGGCCACAUUGGGACUGAGAUACGGCCCAGACUCCUACGGGAGGCAGCAGUGGGGAAUAUUGCACAAUGGGCGGAAGCCUGAUGCAGCAACGCCGCGUGCGGGAUGACGGCCUUCGGGUUGUAAACCGCUUUCGCCUGUGACGAAGCGUGAGUGACGGUAAUGGGUAAAGAAGCACCGGCUAACUACGUG
rnacentral:rRNA from 1 species